UUAUGAGAGUUUGAUCCUGGCUCAGGACGAACGCUGGCGGCGUGCCUAAUACAUGCAAGUCGAACGCUUCUUUUUCCACCGGAGCUUGCUCCACCGGAAAAAGAGGAGUGGCGAACGGGUGAGUAACACGUGGGUAACCUGCCCAUCAGAAGGGGAUAACACUUGGAAACAGGUGCUAAUACCGUAUAACAAUCGAAACCGCAUGGUUUUGAUUUGAAAGGCGCUUUCGGGUGUCGCUGAUGGAUGGACCCGCGGUGCAUUAGCUAGUUGGUGAGGUAACGGCUCACCAAGGCCACGAUGCAUAGCCGACCUGAGAGGGUGAUCGGCCACAUUGGGACUGAGACACGGCCCAAACUCCUACGGGAGGCAGCAGUAGGGAAUCUUCGGCAAUGGACGAAAGUCUGACCGAGCAACGCCGCGUGAGUGAAGAAGGUUUUCGGAUCGUAAAACUCUGUUGUUAGAGAAGAACAAGGAUGAGAGUAACUGUUCAUCCCUUGACGGUAUCUAACCAGAAAGCCACGGCUAACUACGUGCCAGCAGCCGCGGUAAUACGUAGGUGGCAAGCGUUGUCCGGAUUUAUUGGGCGUAAAGCGAGCGCAGGCGGUUUCUUAAGUCUGAUGUGAAAGCCCCCGGCUCAACCGGGGAGGGUCAUUGGAAACUGGGAGACUUGAGUGCAGAAGAGGAGAGUGGAAUUCCAUGUGUAGCGGUGAAAUGCGUAGAUAUAUGGAGGAACACCAGUGGCGAAGGCGGCUCUCUGGUCUGUAACUGACGCUGAGGCUCGAAAGCGUGGGGAGCAAACAGGAUUAGAUACCCUGGUAGUCCACGCCGUAAACGAUGAGUGCUAAGUGUUGGAGGGUUUCCGCCCUUCAGUGCUGCAGCUAACGCAUUAAGCACUCCGCCUGGGGAGUACGACCGCAAGGUUGAAACUCAAAGGAAUUGACGGGGGCCCGCACAAGCGGUGGAGCAUGUGGUUUAAUUCGAAGCAACGCGAAGAACCUUACCAGGUCUUGACAUCCUUUGACCACUCUAGAGAUAGAGCUUCCCCUUCGGGGGCAAAGUGACAGGUGGUGCAUGGUUGUCGUCAGCUCGUGUCGUGAGAUGUUGGGUUAAGUCCCGCAACGAGCGCAACCCUUAUUGUUAGUUGCCAUCAUUCAGUUGGGCACUCUAGCAAGACUGCCGGUGACAAACCGGAGGAAGGUGGGGAUGACGUCAAAUCAUCAUGCCCCUUAUGACCUGGGCUACACACGUGCUACAAUGGGAAGUACAACGAGUCGCGAAGUCGCGAGGCUAAGCUAAUCUCUUAAAGCUUCUCUCAGUUCGGAUUGCAGGCUGCAACUCGCCUGCAUGAAGCCGGAAUCGCUAGUAAUCGCGGAUCAGCACGCCGCGGUGAAUACGUUCCCGGGCCUUGUACACACCGCCCGUCACACCACGAGAGUUUGUAACACCCGAAGUCGGUGAGGUAACCUUUGGAGCCAGCCGCCUAAGGUGGGAUAGAUGAUUGGGGUGAAGUCGUAACAAGGUAGCCGUAUCGGAAGGUGCGGCUGGAUCACCUCCUUU
rnacentral:rRNA from 1 species